CAUUGAUUAUAAUCAUAUAGUCAAGCAAACAGUUUGGGAAACUUUUGUCAAGCACAUUAAUAUAGUUAUAUUCUCUGUCACAAAAAAUGUAGCCUCAUGUUAACUUUGUCCAGACUAAGUGUUGAGUUCUUUGUGUUUAGAGGCAUCAGGGACCGAUAAACGUUUAUUGUGGUCAGACCAGUCAGCAUUCCAGAUCGCUUUUGGGGGGUGAUGGAAAAAAUUAAGCCAUGUUCAAAAGACAAAAAGAACAAUUUGUGCUGUUCUCAGCAACAAAUUUAGCUCACAACAGUCUUUAAGUGGGUUAUGGGAGAGACAAGUGGUGCAUUUACACUUGUGCAGAAAAAUCCUGUAAGAUUUUAAGUGGACGUAUGCUGCCUUCAAGAUUCAUCGCCUUCACCUUGCAAAACCAAAUUCUGCUAAAGAAUGACUGAGGCUUGCAGUCUGAGCUGUACUGUUGCACAUGUUGUGAUGUUUGCAGGAAAAAUGGGACAAUAUAACACCUGAAACACUGCAUGACUCAAUGCCAGAACAUCGUCAGAUAUCAGAAAUAUUACAUUAUACUAGAGUUGAAUACUGAAAUACAAAGAAUCUUGAGACUCUUAUUAGAGCUCACUUGCUCGUCAGUUGAAAAGUGACUGUAUUUAGAGAUUCUGCAAACUACAUGUGCAAUAUUUAUGCAGUUUAAUAUGCCUUGAAUCACAAAAUGAAGUGGGCUCCAACAUUAUGUGAAUGCUUAAAGAAUUUGCUUUUAAUUGCUGCCUUCAAGCUGAUUUAAGAUGCAUUUUCGAAUUAAAAUAAGGCCCGCUGCUUUUCUAAUGGUUUUAACUUUGUGCUCGGCAUUCAGCUGUAAAAACAAACCAAAAUGAAAUAGCUGCAGACUCCCAAGUGGCAAAGUCUACAUGUUUAUGUUUUACUAUUAAGCCUUGUUUAAUUACGCAAGAAGUAAAUCAUGCAUGCUCCAAGUAAUUAAGCUCCUGGAAGGAUUUUUAAACCCUGGUUAAUGUCGUGGGUAAUAUCUGCAAGUAAUGAAGGGAUAUUAAUGUUUGUUUCUUUCUUUUUCACUGCUUCCUCAAAGGUGUCUUUACAUAAGCAGCUAACGCUACUCUCUACUUACAAAAGCACCGAUCUAUAAGAUAAUUUACACAUUGCUGCACAACUAACAAAUCACACUGGUAAUCUGAUUACUUGUCUAAUACUGAUCAUUAACACAAACGAGUGUUAAUCACCAGCCAAUCAGAAUGGAUUUUGAUCAGAGGAGUGGUGGCAGAAAGAUGGAGGAGCAGCUAUCCACCUGAGCUCACAGUUCAGCAAGCGCUACAUGGUUUCCAGACUAGGUAGCUAGUUUUUCUGGACUCUUGGCUGACACCAGAGAGGCUUUGCAGAUGGACAGAGGGGUGGACAGCAGCGCUUUUAGCAGCCGCCUUAAAGAUCGGCCAGCUGCUGAGGGGCUUUUAUUUUCAGAACUUGACCUACGAAAACACCACUAAAUGUUUGGAAUAUUUUAUCACGAUCGGUAGUUACUCAGAUCAGAGUUUCUCAAGCUCAAGGUGCAAAUUUACCUGUCUGAAACAUUUAUGUUUAAUCUAUAUUUUUCUUUAUAAAAGAAAAAAAAUUAUAAUUUCUGAAUAUUUAAUAUUUACUGCUGUUUUUAUGCUAUUUUUUAAAUAAUUAACCAGAUCAAUUAGGUCUUAGGAAAUGUAAUUUAUAUGAUUUUAGAAGUUUAUUGGUGUAUUUUUAUAUAACAAAAGGGUAUUUUUGAUAAUAGACCUGAAAAUGUAAGCUAAAUUUCACUGAAUAUUAAACUUAAUAAAAAUAGACGUGUAUUAAA